rnacentral:rRNA from 1 species
UUAAGCAUAUUAAUUAGGGGAGGAAAAUAAACUAACCAGGAUUUUCUUAGUAGCGGCGAGCGAAAAGAAAUCAGUUCAGCACUAAGUCACUUUGUCUAUAUGGCAAACGUGAGAUGCAGUGUAUGGAGCGUCAAUAUUCUAGUAUGAGAAAUUAACGAUUUAAGUCCUUCUUAAAUGAGGCCAUUUACCCAUAGAGGGUGCCAGGCCCGUAUAACGUUAAUGGUUACUAGAUGAUGUUUCCAAAGAGUCGUGUUGCUUGAUAGUGCAGCACUAAGUGGGUGGUAAACUCCAUCUAAAACUAAAUAUAACCAUGAGACCGAUAGUAAACAAGUACCGUGAGGGAAAGUUGAAAAGAACUCUGAAUAGAGAGUUAAACAGUACGUGAAACUGCUUAGAGGUUAAGCCCGAUGAACCUGAAUAUCCGUUAUGGAAAAUUCAUCAUUAAAGUUGUAAUAUUUUUUUCAUUUUCAUUUUUCCAUAUAAGGACAUUGUAAUCUAUUAGCAUAUAACAAAUUUAUCAUAAAAUAUGACUUAUAGUUUAUUCAAAUUAUUAUGCUUGCAUUUUAACAUGGAAUAAAUGUCAUUAAUUUGAUAAAGUGUUGAUAAAUUAAAAUUAAUACAGUGCGUUAAUUUUUCGAAAUUAUAUAAUGGCAUAACUAUCAUUGAUUUUUGUGUUUAUUAUAUGCAUUUGUAUGAUUAACAAUGCGAAAGAUUCAGGAUACCUUCGGGACCCGUCUUGAAACACGGAGAUAAACCUAAUAGCGUAAUUAACUUGACUAAUAAUGGGAUUAGUUUUUUUAACUAUUUAUAGAUAAUUAACCCAAUCCCGGGGUGUUAUGUAUUAUAAUAAUAUAUUUAUAAUAAUAAUAUAUUUAUAUUAUUUAUGCCUCUAACUGGAACGUACCUUGAGCAUAUAUGCUGUGACCCGAAAGAUGGUGAACUAUACUUGAUCAGGUUGAAGUCAGGGGAAACCCUGAUGGAAGACCGAAACAGUUCUGACGUGCAAAUCGAUUGUCAGAAUUGAGUAUAGGGGCGAAAGACCAAUCGAACCGAGGCCUUAGGGUCGAAACGAUCUUAACCUAUUCUCAAACUUUAAAUGGGUAAGAACCUUAACUUUCUUGAUAUGAAGUUUAAGGUUAUGAUAUAAUGUGCCCAGUGGGCCACUUUUGGUAAGCAGAACUGGCGCUGUGGGAUGAACCAAACGUAAUGUUACGGUGCCCAAAUUAACAACUCAUGCAGAAACCAUGAAAGGCGUUGGUUGCUUAAAACAGCAGGACGGUGAUCAUGGAAGUCGAAAUCCGCUAAGGAGUGUGUAACAACUCACCUGCCGAAGCAACUAGUCCUUAAAAUGGAUGGCGCUUAAGUUGUAUACCUAUACAUUACCGCUAAAGUAGAUGAUUUAUAUUACUUGUGAUAUAAAUUUUGAAACUUUAGUGAGUAGGAAUGUACAAUGGUAUGCGUAGAAGUGUUUGGCGUAAGCCUUCAUGGAGCUGCCAUUGGCACAGAUCUUGGUGGUAGUAGCAAAUAAUCGAAUGAGACCUUGGAGGACUGAAGUGGAGAAGGGUUUCGUGUGAACAGUGGUUGAUCACGAGUUAGUCGGUCCUAAGUUCAAGGCGAAAGCCGAAAUUUUUCAAGUAAAAAAUCAGUGAGUAAUAUUGUCAAAUCUUUUAUGAUUUUUAAAUACUUGAAUAAUUUUGAACGAAAGGGAAUACGGUUCCGUAACCUGUUGAGUAUCCGUUUGUUAUUCAAUUUGGGCCUCGUGCUCAUCAUGGCAACAGGAACGACCAUAAAGAAGCCGUCGAGAGAUAUCGGAAGAGUUUUCUUUUCUGUUUUAUAGCCGUACUACCAUGGAAGUCUUUCGCAGAGAGAUAUGGUAGAUGGGCUAGAAGAGCAUGACAUACACUGUUGUGUCGAAAUUUUCUCCUCGGACCUUGAAAAUUUAUCCGCAGCUGGUCUCCAAGGUGAAGAGUCUCUAGUCGAUAGAAUAAUGUAGGUAAGGGAAGUCGGCAAAUUAGAUCCGUAACUUCGGGAUAAGGAUUGGCUCUGAAGAUUGAGAUAGUCGGGCUUGAUUGGGAAACAAUAACAUGGUUUAUGUGCUCGUUCUGGGUAAAUAGAGUUUCUAUCAUUUAUGGUAGUUACUUGUUCCCCGGAUAGUUUAGUUACGUAGCCAAUUGUGGAACUUUCUUGCUAAAAUUUUAAAGAAUACUAAUUGGGUUAAACCAGUUAGUUCUUAUUAAUUAUAACGAUUAUCAAUUAACAAUCGGACGGGACUUGGGUAAUCCGACUGUCUAAUUAAAACAAAGCAUUGUGAUGGCCCUAGCGGGUGUUGACACAAUGUGAUUUCUGCCCAGUGCUCUGAAUGUCAAAGUGAAGAAAUUCAAGUAAGCGCGGGUCAACGGCGGGAGUAACUAUGACUCUCUUACGUGAAGCGGAACUUUUUCGUCCCCAACACGGCUGGGUGUCAGCCCACGCGUUUGCUAACAGGUCAAGAUUAUCGAAACGGUAUCAAGCUGCGAAUAAAUGCCCUACCAUCGAGGUCUCUUACCACGAGGGGCAGAAAUGAAUUGGAACGGCAAUGUCGUGCAGGUUGUGAUGCUCCCGAAACAACAAACCACAUCCUGCAAAAUUGUUACCGUACGCAUGGGAGGCGGGUAGCAAGACAUAACUGUGUAGUCAAUAACCUUCAGAGGAUUCUUGAGGAGAAGGGCCACACAGUGCACGUCGAACCAAGUUUGCAGCUGGAAACCUCGGUAAGUAAACCAGACCUGGUGUGUAUCCGUGACAAUCACGCUUGCGUGAUUGAUGCGCAGAUUAUAACAGAUGGACUGUUUCUCGACGAUGUGCACCAUCGCAAAGUUGAGAAAUAUAAAAGACCUGAAGAUAUUUCUGCACUGCGGAGAGAAUUCGGAGUGUCGGGCCACGUUGAAGUCCUAUCCGCGACGUUAAACUGGCGUGGGAUCUGGAGCAAUCAAUCCGUUAGAAGAUUGAUAGCAAAGGGUCUCAUCUCAUCCGGUGACAGCAAUGUCAUCAGCGCCAGAGUGGUAACAGGCGGACUAUAUUGCUUCAGACAGUUCAUGUAUCUCGCAGGUUACACGCGAGAUUGGACUUAGCCUAUACACUAUGUUGGAGAGAAGACGCUUGCUACCUAGGCAUAAUGUGAAAUUAGGUAUAAACAUCGUGGUUGU